ACGGAGGGUGCAAGCGUUAUCCGGGUUCACUGGGUUUAAAGGGUGUGUAGGCGGGUGUUUAAGUCAGUGGUGAAAUCUCCAGGCUCAACCUGGAAACUGCCAUUGAUACUAUUCAUCUUGAAUUCUGUUGAGGUGGGCGGAAUAUAUCAUGUAGCGGUGAAAUGCUUAGAUAUGAUAUAGAACACCGAUUGCGAAGGCAGCUCACUAAGCAGCGAUUGACGCUGAGGCACGAAAGCGUGGGGAUCAAACAGGA
rnacentral:rRNA from 1 species